ensembl:lncRNA PACRG-AS3 PACRG antisense RNA 3
GGGAGGGGAUGGGACAUUGAGGAGCAGGACAGUCUUCAGGAAGCUUACAGUCUGCUUUGGGUUGUUUCAGGAACACAGUCAUCCCUCAGAAAUGGAUUGGGUGACAAGUGGUCUGCAUGCUGCACACGGGCACUGGAGUGGACAAUUUAUUUGGUAUUGACUUAGUGUGAGGCAUGCCCUAGACCCGAGGAAUAUAAAGGGGACUGGGAGAAAGCCCGGCCUCCCUGGAGCUCUUCACGUGAUGACAGGCGCAGAUCAGCGGACAGGCGCGUAACAGGAGGUGCUAAGUGCGCAGGUGGGGUCACGUGCCGCGUCACAGCAGUGCUGGAGGAGAGUCCUGACUCAUGGCCUGGGAUGCUGGGGUUCCUCCCCAGAGAAGCUCUUUUGGACCUGGGAGAAGGAGUAGGACUUUGAUACACCAUGGAGGUCUCUGAAUGUAACCAAAUUGUUCUCCUCUUAUCAUUCCCAUUCACUGGUGUACUUGUUUGUGGAGCCUGCAGAACUGCCUUUUUCAAGAAUGGCAGCUUGGCCUCUAAAUCUGCUUCCCACUGAUGGGAAGAGCUGACAGAAGCUUUAGAGAGGCACAGGGUGAGUUCCUAAAACCAGAGUCAACACACACUCUUCAUCUGUUUUGUGCUUCACUCCCUGCUCAUCUUCCUAAAACACUGAGUUUGGUCAUAUCAUGUCCUACAAGUUGUCAAUGAUUUCCCAUGAUCUUGUCUUCAGGAUAAAGUUCCUUAGUCAAAAGCAAUGAAGACCUGACCUAAUCUGUAAGGCAAAAUCAACACUUUUUAGCCUGGCCUUCCAUGCCCUUCCAUGCCCUUCGAGCCCCCAGAGCACCCAUGGCAGUCCAUCUCUCUCUACUUGUCCAGAGGGACACUCUCUUAGAGCCAGUGGCUCCUACUCACGGUUCCCCGAACACGUCGUGGGAAUGUUUGCCUUCAUACCUUCCCAGAUCAUUUUCCUGAUCUCAGACACCCUCCGUCCUCAUUCAUUCACUCUUCAAUUGUCCAACAAAUAUUUGUUGCUCAUGCAACCUGGAUCACCCACAUAGUUUCAAGACUGCAUCUUCUAAACUAUUUAAAUCCUAUCCAUUCUUCAAGAAAUGUUUCAUGACGCUUCCUUAACUGCUAAGGACCCGCAGAUUCUCUUCCUCUUGGGACUCACACACUGACUCAUCUCCCGAUCUUUUGGUGCUCAGCAAAGUGGAGGCUUCUGUUUUGGACUUAGAGUCAAGACCAUUAAAUAAGACUAUGCUCUAAAAAGUACACCUCCGUGGCCCGGAACGAGUGAAUUAACAUCUAUGAGUUUCCAUUUCCUUGUCUAUAAAAUUGUGAAAUUGCAACUUAAGAUUAGUUCUGAAGAUUAAAUGAGGUAACAUAGGUGAAAAUGCUACAUUUAUGUAAGAAAUUACUCUUUCAUAAGGAUGUCAAUGUUUAAAUACGCAUUUUCUCAAUUUUGUUAAUGAAAUACUUUGAAAUUCUUUUUUCUAAUGAAACCUGCUGAAUGUAAAAGAGACCCGUACUAAAGAAAGAUACCACAUGAAGCACCAAGGGUCUCUUUCUGGAUCUAUCAUGACUCUUGUGACUGUUUCAGCAGCACAGAAAUUAAAGGCGAUUGUUAUUCUGGAGGAAGACAAUGAGUCUCAUCUAUAUCUUGUUUGGGUUGAUUUUGUAAACAGAACAUUCCAAAGAUCAUUCUUGCCUUUUGUUUCCACUGAGAACUAGAAUAAAGUAAAACAAACUAUCAAUUUAAGGAAAGCCUCGAAAUUGUUAGCAAUUUCUUCAGUAACUUUCAUCCAUCAACUGAUUUUAUGAACACAAAUUUGCAGAAAUGGGCAAGAAAAACUACUUAACUCAUUGGUGGGAAGCAGUGGGCUCUCUAAGGAGGGAGAGAUAGCAGUGAUUUCACCACCGGACCGUGGAACACAAAGAGCCUGGAAGAGUCUAUCACUUUCAACUGAAACCGCAAGAAGAACUAAGUAGGUUAAGCCCUAAGAAUGUUCCUAGGUAACCUACUUGAGUUGAAAUUUGACUAAGAAUCCUUACACCCUACCUAAGAGAGGUAACGCUAUUAGGAUCGGAAGUGAUUGGAAGCUUUGUUUCAGAUCUCGUCCAAAAGGGAGAACGGUCAAUGACAAAGCUGCUGUGAAUAGUAUUCUGGGGGCGUGGUGGAACCCCGAUUCACUGCUAUCUCCCGAAUCAGCAACUUGACAGAGCGCGCCUCCCGGGCCUUGGAAGCCUUCCAUUCCGAGCUGGCUGGGUGGGACUCAGGUUUUACGGUAUGCUGGACUUUUUCCCCGUGAGUUAAAACACAUUUAUAGUAACUAAGUGGUUAAUGAUGAGAAAAAACCCCAAACUACUGUACUAAUAAUCAACCUC